AUGUCUCUCUCUCUCUCCAAGACAUCAUUCUUCAUUUUCUGAGCACGGCCCUGACUGUGGAUUUCCCUGUGCCAUGCUCGUUCCACAUGGAUUGGUAGCUGUCCAGCAUGGUGACCUUCCAUGGGAUGAUGAUUACGUGCUUCUGAAUAGGGUUGGGUGAAGAGUAACUAAUCUAAAGAUGGCUGCAAGAGUUACAAAGGAAUCUCAGAAAACGGGGUGAUUGGGUAAUACAAAGGCAGAUGGA